UACAGAGGGUGCAAGCGUUAAUCGGAAUUACUGGGCGUAAAGCGUGCGCAGACGGUUGCGUAAGUCAGAUGUGAAAGCCCCGGGCUCAACCUGGGAAUUGCAUUUGAGACUGCGUAGCUAGGGUGCGGAAGAGGGAAGCGGAAUUUCCGGUGUAGCGGUGAAAUGCGUAGAUAUCAGGAGGAACACCGGUGGUGUAGACGGCUUUCUGGACCGUAACUGACGCUGAGACACGAAAGCGUGGGUAGCAAACAGG
rnacentral:rRNA from 1 species